AUGGGAGUGGCCAAGAUCCAAGUUGAUGGUGGGCUAGCUAGAAACGGAAGGAGCGGGGCAGCUGCAGCGGUGUGUCGUGAUCAUUCAGGAUUUUAUUUGGGUGCUUCCGCUAUGAUCUUUAGGGACAUAGCAAAACCAGCGGCGUUGGAGGCACUGGCCUGCCGCGAGGCAUUGGCAUUACCACUCGACCUAUCACUUCACCGCAUCGUUAUUGCAUGUGACUGCAAAGGAGUUGUAGCAGAGAUAAAGAAUGGAUCGGAGGGAAGGCACGGUGCUAUCAUCAAGGAAAUUUGUGCUCGAGCGAGAGACUUUAUUAGCUGCAAUUUUAUUUUUGAAGGACGCAGUAUGAACUUUGAGUAA
rnacentral:rRNA from 1 species